GCCCCCGUUGUCUAAUGGCUAUGACGUCAGACUUCUAAAACGUGUGGGUCACGUGAUCUGGAGGCUGCGGGUUCGAGUCCCGCCGGGGGUA
rnacentral:tRNA from 1 species